UACAGGGGGUGCAAACGUUGCUCGGAAUUAUUGGGCGUAAAGCGCGCGCAGGCGGUCCUUUAAGUCUGAUGUGAAAGCCCACGGCUCAACCGUGGAGGGUCAUUGGAAACUGGGGGACUUGAGUGCAGAAGAGGAAAGCGGAAUUCCACGUGUAGCGGUGAAAUGCGUAGAGAUGUGGAGGAACACCAGUGGCGAAGGCGGCUUUCUGGUCUGUAACUGACGCUGAGGCGCGAAAGCGUGGGGAGCAAACAGG
rnacentral:rRNA from 1 species